rnacentral:rRNA from 1 species
AACGAACGCUGGCGGCAGGCCUAACACAUGCAAGUCGAGCGAGGACUUCGGUCCUAGCGGCGGACGGGUGAGUAACGCGUGGGAACGUGCCCUUUGCUACGGAAUAGCCCCGGGAAACUGGGAGUAAUACCGUAUGUGCCCGAGAGGGGAAAGAUUUAUCGGCAAAGGAUCGGCCCGCGUUGGAUUAGGUAGUUGGUGGGGUAAUGGCCUGCCAAGCCGACGAUCCAUAGCUGGUUUGAGAGGAUGAUCAGCCACACUGGGACUGAGACACGGCCCAGACUCCUACGGGAGGCAGCAGUGGGGAAUCUUAGACAAUGGGGGAAACCCUGAUCUAGCCAUGCCGCGCGAGCGAUGAAGGCCUUAGGGUUGUAAAGCUCUUUCAGUGGGGAAGAUAAUGACGGUACCCACAGAAGAAGCCCCGGCUAACUCCGUGCCAGCCGCCGCUGUAACAC